rnacentral:rRNA from 1 species
ACGAACGCUGGCGGCGUGGAUAAGACAUGCAAGUCGAACGGGAUUUUCUCUGGUAGCAAUACCGGGGAAAAUUUAGUGGCGAACGGGCGCGUAACACGUGGGGAAUCUGCCGAGAAGUGGGGGAUAGCUCGUCGAAAGGCGAAUUAAUGCCGCAUACGAUCAGGGACGACAUCGUUCCAACAUCAAAGCCGGGGCAACCUGGCGCUUCUUGAUGACCCCGCGGCCUGUCAGCUAGUUGGUGAGGUAACGGCCCACCAAGGCGAAGACGGGUAGCUGGUCUGAGAGGACGACCAGCACACUGGAACUGAGACACGGUCCAGACACCUACGGGUGGCAGCAGUCGAGAAUUUUUCACAAUGGGGGAAACCCUGAUGGAGCGACGCCGCGUGGGGGAUGAAUGGCUUCGGCCCGUAAACCCCUGUCAUUCGAGAACAGAUUGGUUCAAUUAACACCUGAACCAUUGAUAGUACCGGAAGAGGAAGGGACGGCUAACUCUGUGCCAGCAGCCGCGGUAAUACAGAGGUCCCAAGCGUUGUUCGGAUUCACUGGGCGUAAAGGGUGCGUAGGCGGUCGGGUAAGUCUGAUGUGAAAUCUCACAGCUUAACUGUGAAACUGCAUUGGAUACUAUUCGGCUUGAGAGUUGGAGGGGGGACUGGAAUUCUUGGUGUAGCAGUGAAAUGCGUAGAUAUCAAGAGGAACACCAGUGGCGAAGGCGAGUCCCUGGACAACUUCUGACGCUGAGGCACGAAAGCUAGGGGAGCAAACAGGAUUAGAUACCCUGGUAGUCCUAGCCGUAAACGGUGCUUAUUUGCUGUAAAAGGAAUCGACCCCUUUUGUGGCGUAGCAAACGCGUUAAAUAAGCCGCCUGGGAAGUACGGUCGCAAGAUUAAAACUCAAAGAAAUUGACGGGGGCCUGCACAAGCGGUGGAGUAUGUGGCUUAAUUCGAUGCAACGCGAAGAACCUUACCUGGCCUUGACAUGCAAGUAGUAGAAGGAUGAAAGUCUAACGAUCCCGCAAGGGAAGCUUGCACAGGUGCUGCAUGGCUGUCGUUCAGCUCGUGUCGUGAGAUGUUGGGUUAAGUCCCGCAACGAGCGCAACCCCUGUGUCCUGUUGCCACCCGGCCGAGAGGCUGGAGCACUCUGGACAGACUGCCUCGCUUCAACGAGGAGGAAGGUGGGGAUGACGUCAAGUCAGUAUGGCCCUUACGGCCAGGGCUGCACACGUACUACAAUGCCCGGCACAAAGGGAAGCAAGAUCGUAAGAUGGAGCAAAUCCCCUAAAACCGGGCCCAGUUCAGAUUGUCGUCUGCAACUCGACGGCAUGAAGCUGGAAUCGCUAGUAAUGGCGCAUCAGCUACGGCGCCGUGAAUACGUUCCCAGGCCUUGUACACACCGCCCGUCACAUCAUGAAAGCCGUUUGUACCCGAAGUCGCCCCUCAAAAGGUGCCGAAGGUAUGGAUGGUGAUUGGGAUG